UUAAAUUGAUCUAAAAUCUGUCAUUCAGUGCCACUGGAAAAAGGAAGAGGAUAGGGGAGUAUUUCUUAGCACAAAUCACGUUAUUGAUUUAGCAAUGCAGCUUAAUUUCAGAUGCUUUAAAGAGCAAGUAACGUCUAAAUUAACUUUUUUUUGCUGAUGAACUGUAUAAAUGAGUGUCUAAUAGUGUUUUAAAUGUGUGCAUUCUUUAUUUUAGCAUUUUGGUGCAUUUUCUUUAAAAAUUAAAAAUUCUGUCUAAAAACCACAGUAAUGCGCCACCUUCAGCUGAAAACAUAGAAUUUGAGUCAUUUUGAAUAAAUUUUAGCCAAUGGCUAAAGAGUAAAGUACUACGUAAACCAGUAGAGUACUACGUAGCAGCUCCGUGCCAAAGUUAUAAAAGCAACGAGCGUCUCGGCCACGCUCUGUGGCGAGUGGGAGUUGGAUUUGCAAGCGAGUGUAGGAGGUCAGCGGUAGUUCAGCAUUAGCAUAUAGCAUUAGCAUAUCCUAGUCUUUAGCAUAUCUUUUAGUGUUAUAAAUACUUAUUUAGUGUUAGCUUGGCUGUUGUAUAUUAUAGUUUAGUUAGUGUUUGGCUGUUAGUGUAAUUGGGAAAGUAUUUCGGGUUUAGUGUUCCAUAUCGUCUUAGUAUUGGUGAGUAGGUGUAGUGUAGUAUGGUUGCGGUGACUCUGUGGGCAUUUUACCCGCGAUUCUGCACGUCUCCGUUUGAAGAGGGAGGCUGUGCCCACCGUGGCUCUUCCGCGAUUUAGAUGCAGCCCACCGACUCUGCUCCCCCACCACGGCGGGCUCCAGUCUGAGGCUAAAUCUACCCAAGACACUGGCUGUCAGACUGAUUUAGCUGCAUGAAUGUACUUGUCCAGGCUGAUGUGAAACCUUCCCUGUAGCAAAGCCAGCCAGAAUGGAGUUCACAGCCGCAGUGUGUCUGGUGACCCACGGGGACCAUGAUGAAAAUUCAUCUUCCAGAAGGUCCCAGAGCGUCCAGACCCCCUGAAAAGACCAAGGUGUGAGGUGUCUGCUGUUGAUUCCAGCUUCCACCUCAGUGACAGUGCAAGCUCAGUGAACUGUUCAAGCCUGGCUGAUCACCUGAUAACUCCUGUCAUCUGGUUAUGACAGCAUGAGGAUGUCCUCACACACCUGUAACCUAUCAGCUCAUCUGGCAGAAUAGAGAGAGAAGAGACAACACCACAUCUCCUGUUCCUGGAAAGCCUUCAGCCUUCCUUCGAUGACUGAGAACCUCCAUCAGCUCUGUCUCCUGUCUGCCUACAAUUAUUAUAAUAAAUAUUGUGUUUGACAA